rnacentral:rRNA from 1 species
GCAGCCGCGGUAAUACGGAAGGUGCAAGCGUUGUUCGGAAUUACUGGGCGUAAAGCGCGCGUAGGCGGUGAUCCAUGUCAGGGGUGAAAUCCCGGGGCUCAACUCCGGAAUUGCCUUUGAAACGGGAUCGCUAGAGUCCGAGAGAGGAUGGCGGAAUUCCUAGUGUAGAGGUGAAAUUCGUAGAUAUUAGGAAGAACACCGGUGGCGAAGGCGGCCAUCUGGCUCGGUACUGACGCUCAGGCGCGAAAGCGUGGGGAGCAAA